rnacentral:rRNA from 1 species
CGGAAACGGUAGCUAAUACCGGAUAAUUUAUUUCACAGCAUUGUGGAAUAAUGAAAGACGGAGCAAUCUGUCACUUGGGGAUGGGCCUGCGGCGCAUUAGCUAGUUGGUGGGGUAAUGGCUCACCAAGGCGACGAUGCGUAGCCAACCUGAGAGGGUGAACGGCCACACUGGGACUGAGACACGGCCCAGACUCCUACGGGAGGCAGCAGUAGGGAAUCUUCCGCAAUGGGCGAAAGCCUGACGGAGCAACGCCGCGUGAGUGAUGAAGGUUUUCGGAUCGUAAAGCUCUGUUGCCAAGGAAGAACGUCUUCUAGAGUAACUGCUAGGAGAGUGACGGUACUUGAGAAGAAAGCCCCGGCUAACUACGUGCCAGCAGCCGCGGUAAUACGUAGGGGGCAAGCGUUGUCCGGAAUUAUUGGGCGUAAAGCGCGCGCAGGCGGUUCUUUAGUCUGGUGUUUAAACCCGAGGCUCAACUUCGGGUCGCACUGGAAACUGGGGGACUUGAGUGCGAAAGAGCAGAGUGGAAUUCCACGUGUAGCGGUGAAAUGCGUAGAUAUGUGGAGAACACCAGUGGCGAGGCGACUCUCUGGCUGUAACUGACGCUGAGCGCGAAAGCGGGGGAGCAACAGGAUAGAUACCUGGUAGUCACGCCGAAACGAUGAUGCUAGGUUUAGGGUUUCGAUACCUUGGUGCGAAGUUACACUUAAGCAUUCCCCUGGGGAGACGGCCCAAGAUUAAACUCAAAGGAUUGACGGGACCCCCCAAGCAGGGAGUAUGGGGUUAAUUCGAAGCACCGA